rnacentral:rRNA from 1 species
UGCCAGCCGCCGCGGUAAUACGGAGGGUACGAGCGUUGUUCGGAAUUACUGGGCGUAAAGCGCGUGUAGGCGGCCAUGCAAGUCGGUUGUGAAAUCCCGGGGCUCAACCCCGGAACUGCACCCGAAACUGCGUGGCUAGAGUCCCGGAGGGGGUGGCGGAAUUUCCGGUGUAGAGGUGAAAUUCGUAGAUAUCGGAAGGAACACCAGUGGCGAAGGCGGCCACCUGGACGGUGACUGACACUCAGACUCGAAAGCGUGGGGAGCAAACAGGAUUAGAUA